GUGAAGAUUUCAGAUGCAAAAACGUCUGUCUCAUUUAUUUACAGUAGGCAAGUUUUUUUUAUUUUUUUUAUGUAGACUCCCUAUAAAAAUAUUCAUACAAAAAUAUUUUUGUACAAAAAAUAUUUGCCUAUGGAAUAUUUCACCCACAUAGAUUAAUAGCCUGCACGUGACGAGAUCUUCCUUCGUGCCAACAGUCGUUGUCCUGACAACGAGUCUUGCGAGUAGCUGAGAUUACUGAUAAUGGUAAAUCAGCGUCUUUUCCGUAGUGUCUGCUACAGGAUGGAUAUAAAAGUAUAAAAUACAUUUUGGUUUGACAACUUCAUUCAUAUGUGGACUAUCACAAGAAAAGCAUAAAGACAUAACAACAUUACACCCCGAGGCCACUCACAAGUAAGUGGGACAAAAGAGAAGAACUGCUUUCUGGAAGAGAAGUUCAUCAGGCGAGUUGGAGCGUUGACUUUGUCGAGUCAUCCAGUUUAGCGGAGAGCUUCAACCCCUAAUUGACAUGAGGAAAAAGAUAAUUGAAAAGUGUUCCAUUGAUAGUGUGCCCAUCUUUGCAACAGAGCAACAUUAGGAGAGAGGAGAAGAGAGAAAGUGAAAGGCACUCAACAGAUGUUGGAAAAUGCACUGAUAACAACCAAAACAAGAUGACCAAAAAUAUAAUUCAACAGAAGAUAAU